AGCUCAGUUGGUUAGAGCAUUAGUUUUGGAUACGUAGGUUCGAAUCCUACACGCA
rnacentral:tRNA from 1 species